GACGAAGGAUGCAAGCGUUAUCCGGAUUCAUUGGGUUUAAAGGGAGCGUAGGCGGAUAGGUAAGUCAGUGGUGAAAUCCCAUCGCUUAACGAUGGAACUGCCAUUGAUACUGCUUAUCUAGAGUACAGUUGCCGUUGGCGGAAUAUGACAUGUAGUGGUGAAAUACUUAGAUAUGUCAUAGAACACCGAUUGCGAAGGCAGCUAACGAAGCUGUAACUGACGCUGAGGCUCGAAAGUGCGGGGAGCAAACAGG
rnacentral:rRNA from 1 species